rnacentral:rRNA from 1 species
AUUGAACGCUGGCGGCAUGCCUUACACAUGCAAGUCGAACGGCAGCGCGGGGCAACCUGGCGGCGAGUGGCGAACGGGUGAGUAAUAUAUCGGAACAUACCCUAGAGUGGGGAUAACGUAGCGAAAGUUACGCUAAUACCGCAUACGCACUAAGGUGGAAAGUGGGGGAUUCGCAAGAACCUCAUGCUCAUGGAGUGGCCGAUAUCUGAUUAGCUAGUUGGUGAGGUAAAAGGCUCACCAAGGCAACGAUCAGUAGCUGGUUUGAGAGAACGACCAGCCACACUGGAACUGAGACACGGUCCAGACUCCUACGGGAGGCAGCAGUGGGGAAUUUUGGACAAUGGGGGCAACCCUGAUCCAGCAAUGCCGCGUGAGUGAAGAAGGCCUCGGUGUAAG